rnacentral:rRNA from 1 species
AUUGAACGCUGGCGGCAGGCCUAACACAUGCAAGUCGAGCGGAUGAGUGGAGCUUGCUCCAUGAUUCAGCGGCGGACGGGUGAGUAAUGCCUAGGAAUCUGCCUGGUAGUGGGGGACAACGUUUCGAAAGGAACGCUAAUACCGCAUACGUCCUACGGGAGAAAGUGGGGGAUCUUCGGACCUCACGCUAUCAGAUGAGCCUAGGUCGGAUUAGCUAGUUGGUGAGGUAAAGGCUCACCAAGGCGACGAUCCGUAACUGGUCUGAGAGGAUGAUCAGUCACACUGGAACUGAGACACGGUCCAGACUCCUACGGGAGGCAGCAGUGGGGAAUAUUGGACAAUGGGCGAAAGCCUGAUCCAGCCAUGCCGCGUGUGUGAAGAAGGUCUUCGGAUUGUAAAGCACUUUAAGUUGGGAGGAAGGGCAGUAAGUUAAUACCUUGCUGUUUUGACGUUACCAACAGAAUAAGCACCGGCUAACUUCGUGCCAGCAGCCGCGGUAAUACGAAGGGUGCAAGCGUUAAUCGGAAUUACUGGGCGUAAAGCGCGCGUAGGUGGUUCGUUAAGUUGGAUGUGAAAGCCCCGGGCUCAACCUGGGAACUGCAUCCAAAACUGGCGAGCUAGAGUAUGGCAGAGGGUGGUGGAAUUCCCUGUGUAGCGGUGAAAUGCGUAGAUAUAGGAAGGAACACCAGUGGCGAAGGCGACCACCUGGGCUAAUACUGACACUGAGGUGCGAAAGCGUGGGGAGCAAACA